AUCUGGUAAAGGCUUGAAUUUUUUCAGGCUUCUUUGUGCACUGACUUAGAUUGCAGCUAACCUGGAUCCCUUCUUCACUUGACUCAUGUCUUUCUUGUGUUUUGUUUACCUAAUUAUGAGUUUGUUUCUUUUUAAUGACUGGUUUCAAGAAUAAGUCAAAGACGUUAACUUUAAACUCGAAAUAUCUACAAAAGAGAUCAGAUGAGACGUAGAAAGAAAAAGAGGAACAGAAGUUACAGCUUGAUGCGAAGGAGCGAGAAGAAGCCGACCUCAAAGAACAGUUGAAGAGAGUUUCGGAAAAACGUGGGGAACUUAAAGGAAAGAAUGACAGAAACAGAGAUGGAGAAAGAAAAAGAGGAACAGAAGUCCAAGCUAAAUGCGAAGGAGCGAGAAGUAGCCGACCUCGAAGACCAGUUAAAGAAAGUUUCGGGAGAACUUGGGGAACUUAAAAGAUGGAAUUAGAAGUUAAAGAAAGAAUUAGAUACCCAACACAAGAAGCUUGGAAAAGCAGACGAGAACUUAAAGGUAGAAGCCAAAGCUAAAAGAGACGCCUUAAAUUUACUGGAAUUAUCGAGAGACGAGUCCAGACGUGAGUGUUCUGUUUCUGGAUGGAUUUUGACACACGUGGAGUUAUCCAUACAAUGAACAGAAAUAGACAGACAAGAAUAAUCGCCACUCGAUCCUCCGACGGAUAUGGAGAGGCGAGUGAUGUGCUCGAUCCUCGGCUUAGGGGCAGAGUAACUAGCAGCACCAAAGGCGAGGAGAAAUCAUAGUGGUGCGUUGCCUUGAGUGAGACAUGUGUAUUGUAUCUCAAUCAUUACACCCUGAGACAUUGGCUAACAGUUGGCGAUUCGAUAAUCCGUCAUUGGAAUCUCGAAGGUUCCCUAGAUGGGUCGACAUGGAUACUGUUGAGGGAACACGUUAGAGAUCAUAAACUCAAAGGGGAACAUCCUUUCUCUGCUACCUGGUCAAUCGAUUGAGAAGUGGGAGCUUUGCGGUAUUUCAGGAUUGUUCAGACGGGCAAGAAUUCUUCCGGUGGAUACGACCUUUACCUUUCUGGUAUUGAACUUUAUGCGGUGCUUAUCAAACGGUCCGACAGUCAAUAAGUUUGCCAGGAAGUUGACAACGUCGACGAAUUUAGGAAUUGAACAGGAUCAUUCAUUCUCAAUAUCACGAACCACAGCUGGUGGAAGCCUUAACUGAGUACCAAGGUCUCUCCAGGAUGCACUACGUCAUCACAUAUUAACAGCAUGUGAUUUGAAUUCACAGUUGUAUGUCCAUAUCGCAUACUUAGAGUGUCUGUGAAAUAAGAGUAUAUACGAUUGAAAUUCCAAACAGUUGUUAACAGAAAGGAUGAGACUACAGUAUAAAGCCAGUAAUUUAGGGACCAGUCGUUAUUUAUCGCCUUCGGGAAUAGGAGGGAAGACUUUGAGGGAUCAUAUCAUUUUCAGGCAGAACAGAAGAGACCGAUAGUUUCUAAAGAAACUGUUUGGGGCUGCGUCGGUGGGGGGGUAACGAA